UACGGGGGGAGCAAGCGUUGUUCGGAUUUACUGGGCGUAAAGGGCGCGUAGGCGGUCGUGACAAGUCACUUGUGAAAUCUCCGGGCUUAACUCGGAACGGUCAAGUGAUACUGUCGGACUAGAGUACAGAAGGGGCAACUGGAAUUCUCGGUGUAGCGGUGAAAUGCGUAGAUAUCGAGAGGAACACCUGCGGCGAAGGCGGGUUGCUGGGCUGAUACUGACGCUGAGGCGCGAAAGCUAGGGGAGCGAACGGGA
rnacentral:rRNA from 1 species